GACGUAGGGUGCAAGCGUUGUCCGGAUUUACUGGGCGUAAAGAGCGCGUAGGCGGUCUGGUAAGUGAGAAGUGAAAUCUCCAGGGCUCAACCCGGAAACUGCUUUUCAUACUGUCAGACUAGAGGGAUGCAGAGGUUUGUGGAAUUCCUGGUGUAGCGGUGAAAUGCGUUGAUAUCAGGAGGAACACCCAUGGCGAAGGCAGCAAACUGGGCAUCGAUCUGACGCUGAGGC
rnacentral:rRNA from 1 species